AGGAUGAACGCUGGCGGCGUGCCUAAUACAUGCAAGUCGAACGAGGUCUUCGGACCGAGUGGCGAACGGGUGAGUAACACGUUGGUACCUACCCCGAAGUGGGGAAUAACUGCCCGAAAGGGUGGCUAAUACCGCAUAAUACCGCAAGGUUAAAGCAGUAAUGCGCUUCGGGAGGGGCCUGCGUCCCAUUAGCUAGUUGGUAGGGUAAUGGCCUACCAAGGCGACGAUGGGUAGCUGGAUCGAGAGGUUGACCAGCCACACUGGGACUGAGAUACGGCCCAGACUCCUACGGGAGGCAGCAGUAAGGAAUCUUCCACAAUGGACGAAAGUCUGAUGGAGCAACGCCGCGUGCAGGAUGACGGCCUUCGGGUUGUAAACUGCUUUUAUAUGGGAAGAUUAUAACGGUACCAUAUGAAUAAGGACCGGCUAACUACGUGCCAGCAGCCGC
rnacentral:rRNA from 1 species